rnacentral:rRNA from 1 species
GACGAACGCUGGCGGCGUGCUUAAUACAUGCAAGUCGAACGGAAAGGCGCGUUUGGUGGUUCUCGGGUGGCGACCGGGGGAGUAACACGAGAGUAUCCUGCCCUUGACUUCGGGAUUACGUCAAGAUAGUGGAGCUAAUACCGGAUAGGAAUCCUUUCUGCAUGGUGGGGGUUGGAAAGCUUCGGCGGUUUUUGAUGGACUUGCUGCUUAUCAGCUUGCUGGUGGGGUAGUGGCUUACCAAGGCUUUGACGGGUAGCAGGCCUGAGAGGGCGACCGGCCACAUUGGGACCGAAAGGCAGGCCAGACUCGUACGUGAGGCAGAAGUGGGGAAUGUUGCACAGAGGGCCGAAGCGUGAUGCAGCAACGCCGCGGGCGGGAUGACGGCUUUUGGGUUGUAAAACGCUUUGAGCAGGGGCGAAGCUUGUGGUGACGGUACCUGAAGAAGAAGCACCGGCUAACUUCGUG